UUUGAUGAUUAAAAUGAGUUGGGUUGUAAUGGUUAAUGGUUUCAAUAAUUUACCCAAUUAACCCAUCAAGUUUUAUAAAAUUGAA
rnacentral:sRNA from 1 species